rnacentral:lncRNA from 1 species
UUGAACUCAUCCUGUGGUGGUGCUCAGCUUUAACAUGGUGCUAAUGAGAAAGCCAGUCUGAAGGACUGAUUGCACUUACCACUGAGGAGAUGUGGCUCUGGGGUCAUGGUUCCUUCUUGCUGGAAAGAGGACUAUAUGAAUGGGGACAUCAGGGUUACUCGAAGCUACUGUGUACGCCUGCAGUGGCCUGCAACCCAGCUAAGAACAGCUGUUUCUGUAGGGGUUGAAAUGCACCAGCAAAGUUCAUCCC